rnacentral:rRNA from 1 species
GAUGAACGCUGGCGGCGUGCCUAAUACAUGCAAGUCGAGCGCGAGAGUGAGGAGCUUGCUCCUCAUGAUCGAGCGGCGGACGGGUGAGUAACACGUAGGCAACCUACCCUUGAGAUUGGGAUAACUACCGGAAACGGUAGCUAAUACCGGAUACGACUUUUCCACAUAAGUGGAAUGGUUAAAAGGCGGAUUUAUCUGCCGCCCAUGGAUGGGCCUGCGGUGCAUUCGCUAGUUGGUGAGGUAGUGGCUCACCAAGGCGACGAUGCAUAGCCGACCUGAGAGGGUGAUCGGCCACACUGGGACUGAGACACGGCCCAGACUCCUACGGGAGGCAGCAGUAGGGAAUCUUCCGCAAUGGACGAAAGUCUGACGGAGCAACGCCGCGUGAGUGAUGAAGGGUUUCGGCUCGUAAAACUCUGUUGUUAAGGAAGAACACUUGAGGUAGUAACUGGCCUUGAGAUGACGGUACUUAACCAGAAAGCCACGGCUAACUACGUGCCAGCCGCCGCCGUAA